rnacentral:misc_RNA from 1 species
GAUGAAGAACGUAGCGAAAUGCGAUAAGUAAUGUGAAUUGCAGAAUUCCGUGAAUCAUCGAAUUUUUGAACGCACAUUGCGCCCCCUGGCAUUCCGGGGGGCAUGCCUGUCCGAGCGUCAUUUCUGCCCUCAAGCACGGCUUGUGUGUUGGGUGUGGUCCCCCCGGGGACCUGCCCGAAAGGCAGCGGCGACGUCCGUCUGGUCCUCGAGCGUAUGGGGCUCUGUCACUCGCUCGGGAAGGACCUGCGGGGGUUGGUCACCACUAUAUUUUACCACGGUUGACCUCGGAUCAGGUAGGAGUUACCCGCUGAACUUAAGCAUAUCAAUAAGCGGAGGA